rnacentral:tRNA from 1 species
ACCUUAGUAGUUUAUUUUUUAAAAUAUGACGCUGAAGAAGUCAAGAAUUUUUGAGGUG